rnacentral:rRNA from 1 species
GUGACCUCAAAUCAGGUAGGACUACCCGCUGAACUUAAGCAUAUCAAUAAGCGGAGGAAAAGAAACUAACAAGGAUUCCCCUAGUAACUGCGAGUGAAGCGGGAAAAGCUCAAAUUUAAAAUCUGGCAGUCUUUGGCUGUCCGAGUUGUAAUCUAGAGAAGUGCUAUCCGCGCUGGACCGUGUACAAGUCUCCUGGAAUGGAGCGUCAUAGAGGGUGAGAAUCCCGUCUUUGACACGGACUACCAGGGCUUUGUGAUGUGCUCUCAAAGAGUCGAGUUGUUUGGGAAUGCAGCUCAAAAUGGGUGGUAAAUUCCAUCUAAAGCUAAAUAUUGGCGAGAGACCGAUAGCGAACAAGUACCGUGAGGGAAAGAUGAAAAGAACUUUGGAAAGAGAGUUAAACAGUACGUGAAAUUGCUGAAAGGGAAACGCUUGAAGUCAGUCGCGUUGUCCAGGGAUCAACCUUGCUUUUGCUUGGUGCACUUCCUGGUUGACGGGUCAGCAUCAAUUUUGACUGUUGGAAAAAGAUCAAGGGAAUGUGGCAUCUCUGGAUGUGUUAUAGCCCUUGGUUGCAUACAAUGGUUGGGAUUGAGGAACUCAGCACGCCGCAAGGCCGGGUUUAACCACGUACUGCUAGA